rnacentral:lncRNA from 1 species
UGUCAGGUGGCCGGCAGCAGCUAACAGCACAAAUUUUCCUCCCUAGGGUCAAGAGAAGAGAGAUAUUUGUAAAGAACAUAUUACCCUUUUCUUUCUUUUGUUUUAAAGAAUUUCAUUUAUGGAAAAGUCUUCAUUUACUAUGUUGUGAAAGCUGUCAUAAAACACCCUCUUUUUAUUACCAGUGAGGCUCCCGAGAGGUGAAUGGUGGAAACUUUGUUUUAUCUCUUCUUUAAUUUUUGAGAGUCUUCCAUUUUAGAAAAUCCAUUCUUUAAAAUGUAUCCCCAUUGACUUUUUAAGCCUUAGCAUAAACAUUAUCUCUCAGAAUUUGGUUAAGCAUCCACAGAACGCUGUGCCCAGUGCACUGGAGGAACCCUGCUUAGGUCUCACAACAGAACGCUGUGCCCAGUGCACUGGAGGAACCCUGCUUAGGUCUCACAACAGAACGUUGUGCCCAGUGCACUGGAGGAACCCUGCUUAGGUCUCACUCCCGUGGUGUCUAACAGAGAGGUCCUAGUUAAUUUCACUCGGAGCAACAGGCAGGCAACUUUUCCUUGAAAAAAAAGAUAUUUAUAAGUGUCAUGUUUAUUUUACCACUACCACCUUUUUCAAAGCUGUCGUUAAAGUGUUUUCAAAACUGAAAUUAAAUUUGCAAAUCUUUUUGCUGUGCUUGCUUGCCCUUUGACCCGCUGAUGUGAUAAAAUAACUGAACAGCUUGUCCUUUUUAGACAAGCUUUGAGUCACGACCUGACCUUUUUUUCCUUUUCACCUCUUUUUUCCUUGAGGUUUACAAAUCAAACUGCAAAAUCCAAGAACCAUUUUCUGUAAUGUGGAGGAACUUUUACAGUCCAAAUGUAGUUUGCAAAUGCCCACGCUCAAAUGUGAGCCGGAAAGGAAUGGGUCAUUAACCAGAGUGGGUCUGGUUAACGUGCCUUUUAGGGGUUUUCUCUGGGAGGCUGCAGGUGUUCUCAGACCUGCAAGAACGACACAUUCUCUGCCCAGGUGUGGACUGGCUAUACCUAUUUUUGUUUCUCUCAUUUUGUGGGAGUGAAUUUUAAGUGAUAAUUAUUAGAAAACUUUCAGUUUGACUGUUUUUCUUACAAUAUUGACUUGUUAUCUGGGUGUGAUUCAGGAACUCUCAAGCCCAUCUGCUGAACACUAUUUUGGCUCUUAAGAGGCAGUUUGAGAUGGUAUCAGCCUAUAUAUGAGGAAUUGGGAAACUUGAGUAUUCGAAGCUUUGGGCACACUUCAGCUUAGUAAAGUCUCUGAUCUACAGCUGUUUCAAACAUUUCGGAAGCCAGCAUCCUGCCUUUUCGACAAGUAGGUUUUGUCUGAAUAAAACAGGAAGUGAUUCUUCCCCCUGCUUCUCAGGGAAGGGGUGAGCAUCCAGUUCUUCUCGUUUACAGUUUCCCAACUGCUGGCCACUUUGUGUUACUUUGUGCUCCUUGAUGCCAUGAUCAACAUGUUCGUGAUGUAAGCAACCUGUGGUGGGUGUUUCCCGGUCUGUCCUGUCUUUAAAAAUGAUGCUGAGAUUUGCCACUUUGGGGAAGAGGCAUCUGUCACUAACCAUGCAUAUGUGAACACACGGAUAUUUAAGAAAUGAGCAAAUGAGGAGGUGGUUUGAACUGGUGGUGAUGCUAGCCGCCCCCUCUUAGCCCCCCCAACAUGAUUUGAGUGUGUUCCUUAUGGGAUGCACUCAUGGAAAGGACUUGUGGGUGUGAAUACAUUUCUCAAAUAAAAGUUUAAAUUGUAAAAUAGUUUUAUAAUAAAGUAUUUACAUUAAUUAUUUUAAUAUGGAUGGAAGUUGCAUAAAUUAUAAUUGUGAACUAUUUAGUCUUUCAAGAGAGUUUUGAAAAAUGUAUGUAAGUGGCUCUGAUGGCUGUGGUGUUAAAUUAGUAUGCGAUGCUUUGUUCUGUGUGUUUGGAGGGGGCUGGGCACUCUACCUGUCCACACUACAGACAGACAGUUACUGCGGGCCGAGUGAGAACCGAUUCCUGAAUGCCUGCCGGCGUCCUGUGAUGCAGUUGCCCGAGAUCUCCACAGUGUUGCCCUCGCUGUCAGGCCUCUGAACUGUCGAAUUUAUAACAUUUGGGGGGAAAUGAAUUUCUAUAAUUACCUCUGUUGCAAUCUUUUUAUUGCUGUUAGGAUUUGGAAUGUGUAGGCAGGAGGAAGGGCUGAACUGGGAACUGACUGGCUCUGACUGUUAAUACCACUCCCCUUGAGGUCUGAUGUCCAGACGUGCUUGGUUGAACCAGCCGUUUACACAGCUGUCCUUCUCUUGCAGACCCUCAACCGACCGUGGCUUUUGUGUAUCCAUAGCUUCCGUUGCCCUUUGUCUUGCCCCCUACAAUGGUUCAGUUACCCAGAAACAUCAAGUCCCUUUUAAGAAUAGUCCAUUUGGUUACUCUCAGGGUAGUGUCUGGGGGCCUUGGCCUCUCAGUUCACUCAGACUCAAGUCUGCACCUCACCAAGUAUUUUCAACCCCUCUCCCUGACGUGUGCGUUGGUGAAGCAGUCAGGACUGAUCGUCUCCAGCACCCUGUCUAGGUGGAGAGGCUCACGAGGACGACUUUAAAACAGAGACACACCAACACCUGUAUUUCAAGCUGUUAAAGCUAGUGUUUGGGUAAAGAUGAAGUGCUAAGUAUUGAGCUACAACAGAGGCAGAUGAUUGGGGGCUGAGAUCAAGGGAACCGCUGACUCUCCAGCUGGGGCAGUUACAGACAGCCUAAAACAGCCUGAAAAAGAGCGCUCUUAAGACAUGCUUGUAAAGGUACAUUCAGCCGUCGCCUUUGGAAUAAUAAAUAGCACAGUGUGACUAUGGUUGCUCCUCGCUGGUGCAAACCUUUUAAAUCUCAAGUUUUCAGAUUGCUGGGAUUUCAGACUUGUCAGCGGACAUGAAGGUAUUUCUUGACUUCAGAGCAACUCUGUUGUUAUAACAUCCAAUACUGAUAUCUGGAGACAGAUUCAGCCUCUUGGCUGUCGAUAGUGUGUCUUCCCACUUGCUUCGAUAGCUUCUAUCAAAAACCACCAUGAUUCGUGCCAGUAAAUCAGACAGUCAAAUUAAAAAAAAACAAAAACAAAACCAAAAACAGUAGAAACGUGUGGUGUGGUGAAACUUUGGCCUGGUGUCCACUUAAAAGAUUAAAAGGUUAGUUAUUGAAGAUAGGGUUUCUGGUCCCCUGUAGCGAAAGGCACACAUAGACACUUGGCUGUGGGAUCUGUGGUGGAAGAUGGGAAAUCACACCCAGUUGUGUCCUUAGUAACAUCCAGGCAGCAGUGCCAGUCCCCGCCCCCUGUUACUUGAUGAAUGAAUGUAUCCCUGUACUUUGGUGGAAAUGUCUCUAGCUUUCUUUUUCUCAGUGUUUGUAAUUUGUACUAUUGAUGGGAUAGUCUUGGAGUGCAAGGCUCAUCACUGUGUUUGUAGAAUCAUCUAAUGUGAUAUACCAAUUUUUAUAAGCGAUAUUUAGAUAACUCUAAUAACUGUACAUUCAACAACUUAUUAAAAUGUUUUGCAUUGG